GCGAAAGUGGCGAAAUUGGCAGACGCAUCAGAUUUAGGUUCUGGUGGGCAAUCCCCGUGGGGGUUCGACUCCCCCCUUUCGCA
rnacentral:tRNA from 1 species